rnacentral:rRNA from 1 species
UGAGGAAUAUUGGUCAAUGGACGCAAGUCUGAACCAGCCAAGCAGCGUGCAGGAUGACGGCCCUAUGGGUUGUAAACUGCUUUUAUAUGGGGAUAAAGUGGGGAACGUGUUCCCUUUUGCAGGUACCAUAUGAAUAAGGACCGGCUAAUUCCGUUCCAGCAGCCGCGGUAAUACGGAAGGUUCGGGCGUUAUCCGGAUUUAUUGGGUUUAAAGGGAGCGUAGGCCGUUUGGUAAGCGUGUUGUGAAAUGUAGGAGCUCAACUUCUAGAUUGCAGCGCGAACUGUCAGACUUGAGUGCGCACAACGUAGGCGGAAUUCAUGGUGUAGCGGUGAAAUGCUUAGAUAUCAUGAAGAACUCCGAUUGCGAAGGCAGCUUACGGGAGCGCAACUGACGCUGAAGCUCGAAGGUGCGGGUAUCGAACAGG